rnacentral:tRNA from 1 species
CAGAAAGUAGUUUAAUUAAAAUAUUAAUUUUGGGAAUUGAUGAUAAAGUGUAACUUUUUUUCUGA